CCAAGGAGGUGCUCAAUAAGGCCAAGGAGCUGCAACACUCAGACAAGCACAUGAGGGAGGCAGCCAACAAGAAUGCCUACCACAGCAUGGAGAAGGCACAGGCUCGGCAGGUGAUCAGCGACGCCACAGCCUCCCAGAGAUAUGACACACCACAGGAGAUGCUGGGGAUGAACACUGCUGCUUGGGGAGCUGAGGAACAGAGGUUGCUGGAGCAAGCCCUCAAGACCUAUCCAGUCUCUACUCCCUGACCGCUGGGACCGCAUUGCCAAGUGUGUCCCCAACCGAACCAAGAAAGACUGCAUGAGGCGCUAUAAGGAGCUUGUUGAGAUGGUGAAGGCAAAGAAGGCGGCUCAGGCUGCUGCAGUGGGAAAAAAGUGAGGAGCCAAACCUUGCUGUCUUCUUUCU